ensembl:lncRNA
CUCAGCAACAUACAGUUGCACAGUGCUUUGCAUAAAGUGUUUGGAUGAGCCCAGAUGACCUUGUUCCUUGUUUAUCUGAAUUAUUUGCCUACUUUUCCUCUUUAAAUGCUCAUUUCCUCCUCCCAUCCUUGGGGCAGAACCAUCCCCAGGCUCUGCACUUCAGUGUUGUCAAGAGGAACAAAAUCCUGGGGGGUUAACAGCCUGUGGGACCAGAUACUUGCAAAUAUAUUGGAAAAAAUCCUAUUUAAAGAGGGCAACCAAGUCACUCUUUAUGUCCCUCUCUGUAUGGGGACACUUCCCUGAGAACACCGUGGAGGUGAAGAUAGAGAUCUGUGAGGGGACUGAGGGAGGACAAUGGGGGCUAAAGUCUGUGAGGGAAGGGGCUGAUGGAAUGCAAUAGGGGCUGAGCUUCAUGAGGGAGGGGGCUGAGGGAAGAGACUGAGGGAAAGCAAUGGGGAUUGAGCUCUGUGAGGGAAGGGGCUGUGGAGAAUAAGGCUGAGGUCUGUGAGGGAAGGGGCUGAGGGAGAGCAAUGGGAGCUGAGCUCCAUGAGGGAAGGGGCUGAGGGAAGGGAUUGAGGUCUGUGAGGGAAGGGGCUGAGGGAAGGGAUUGAGGUCUGUGAGGGAAGGGGCUGUGGAGAAUAGGGCUGAGGUGUGUGAGGAACGGGGCUGAGGGAAGGGAUUGAGGGAAGGCAAUAGGGACUGAGCUCAGCGAGGGAAGGGGCUGAGGGAUGGCAACGGCGACUGAGAUCUAUGAGGGAAGGGGCUGAGGGACAGCAAUGGCGACAGCUGUGUGAGGGAAGGGGCUGAGGGACAGCAAUGGCGACAGCUGUGUGAGGGAAGGGGCUGAGGGACGGCAGAGGAACGUCGCCGCGCCGCGCCGCGCUGACCCGCGGGAAGAGGAAAGCCGCGGGCGCGGCCGCGCUGUCUUUCCGGUUCAGUUUUCACUUUCUGUUUUUUUCACCCCUCCGCCGCCCGCCCUCUCCUUCCCUCCCUGGGGUUGCCUUCCCCUUCCUGGGGGCCGGCGUUGGGCUGCGGUCCCGCAAUGCCGCCCCGUUUCUCCUGAUCCCCCUU